rnacentral:rRNA from 1 species
AUUGAACGCUGGCGGCAGGCCUAACACAUGCAAGUCGAGCGGAUGAAGGGAGCUUGCUCCUGGAUUCAGCGGCGGACGGGUGAGUAAUGCCUAGGAAUCUGCCUGGAAGUGGGGGAUAACGUCCGGAAACGGGCGCUAAUACCGCAUACGUCCUGAGGGAGAAAGUGGGGGAUCUUCGGACCUCACGCUAUCAGAUGAGCCUAGGUCGGAUUAGCUAGUUGGUGGGGUAAAGGCCUACCAAGGCGACGAUCCGUAACUGGUCUGAGAGGAUGAUCAGUCACACUAGAACUGAGACACGGUCCAGACUCCUACGGGAGGCAGCAGUGGGGAAUAUUGGACAAUGGGCGGAAGCCUGAUGCAGCCAUGCCGCGUGUGUGAAGAAGGUCUUCGGAUUGUAAAGCACUUUAAGUUGGGAGGAAGGGCAGUAAGUUAAUACCUUGCUGUUUUGACGGUACCAACAGAAUAAGCACCGGCUAACUUCGUG